rnacentral:lncRNA from 1 species
CCUGACAAAUACGGUUAUCAAAACGCCCACUAUUGUUUAGUAUAUAAUGACCAGAAAUGGAAAAUGAACGUCAUUUGAAUAUAAGGUUAUAAGGAAUAUGAAGUAUUUUAUUAUACUGGUAAGUAUAUUUAACUUUUAUUUCAGAGAGCAUCUUCCACAUACCAACUAAAGACCUUUCGUAAAUAGACUUAUGGUCCGAGACCACAAUUAUUUCAUAGUGCAUUUCUUUUAGAAUAUAAAUGAAAAUAAAAAAAAUCCCACCUGCGCUUUCUCAAAGAAACUUUUACAGUGUGUUGUACUACUUUUGGGGCAAAUUAUAUCAAAAUUAUACAAAACGUCAUCGGCUCUAACUCAAAAUAUGGACAAUUUUAUGUUUAGGGCGUCUUGAAAUCUUUUGACAGCUUCCGAAGUGCUAAUUUUAAACUUUUUUCAGCUGGCCCAAAUCACUACUUUCCUUUGAAAUUCUGGACCCAAAAAUUUCACCCCCCCUACUUGCAAUUUGAGGCAUUAAACAUGGAGAAAUAAAUUUGAAAGGGGUAGAAAAAUUAAUGGCAAGUAACCCACUGUCAACACUAGGGACUAUAUUUGUGAACAACGAUAAUCAAGGGACGACAGUUGUGGUCUCGGACCUUAUAAUUUGGUAGCAUUUUUGCGAAAAAUUUUCAUAAUGCACAUUUGGUACAAAGUUGAUUAAAAAUUAUGGCGUUGUAUCACUUUAUAUUAAUAAAGGAAGUUAUAUAUGAACAUGCACAUUUAAUGUGUUUUGUUGAUCACAUUAAAAUUCUUAAUCUAAUAAAAAUAUAAUUUAAUUGGAUGCUCCGUAUUAACCUUUUGUCUGUGAAAAAUGAAAAUGAUGUAAUUUGAAAACCUUAUGAUACAAAUAGUUAUCAAAGUACCAGAAUUAUAUUUUAGUACGCCAGACGCGCGUUUCGUCUACAUAAGACAUCAGUGACGCUCAGAUCAAAAUAGUUAUAAAGCCAAACAAGUACAAAGUUGAAGAGGAUUGAGGAUCCAAAAUUCUAAAAAGUUGUGCCAAAUACGGCUAAGGUAAUCUAUGUCUGGGAUAAGAAAGCUAUACUCUUAGUUUAUUAAUAAUUUAAACUUAUCAACGUAGAUUGUAAGAAAGGCACUUUAUUAUUCAUGUCAGUUCGUAAGCACCAACCACUGAUAACGUCAAUAAGUUCAUAACUACGAUGUGAAUACUUCGGGCUCCAUACUAUUAAUACCCAGUAAAUAAUUGACUACACGCAAUGCUAUGUUAGCUAUGCACAAUAUAUUAUUGAUUUUAAAUCUUUACACAUAUUACAUCAUUUAUGAAAAUAAUAAGGAUUGACUACCCAAGGAAUAAAUUACCAUUUCUGAUGGAUCUUUUGAAGACAAAAUUUUAAUCCUUCAAAACUGUUUAUAAUAUCUCAACUCAUAAUUGGAUAAGAACUAAUAAAAUAUAACAUGACUAGGUGUGAUAAAACUACAUCUAUUCGAAACUAGACUUCGAAAAUCACAAAGUUUCAUACAUCUAUAAAAACAAACUUUCAAAAUGUUAUCAUACAUUAAUUCUGUCGGACUUCAUUAUUUAUAUUCGUUAAUAAAAUCUUCCAUAUGAACAUAAUGUUAACACAGUAACAUAUUUCUUUGUAAACUACCAGAAAUCUGUUAAAACUGAUUUAAUCGUAUCAUUUACAGAUCUUGUGAUAUAUCGUGUUGAUCGUGUUUAUACAAACCUGGUAACAAGUCUAAUUCUGUAGAUCACAUUCGUGAAAAGCAGACGAGAUUAUAGUGCGACAUUAUGAACAUAUCCGCUAUCAUCUGUGAAACGAAUAUUCCAUAACGGUCAACCAACUCGUGAUUGCAUCCGUAAAAUUUACGAAGGAGUUAUUUCAACCUCAUCGUUAUAAUUUUUGGUUAGAUAGCUUUCUUUUGACCAGCAACCCUCUAUCAAGGAGAUCAUGACAGAAAAAAACACAUCUAAGGAAAUAUCUUAUGAAAAAGGAGAAAUAUACUCCAUAUACAGGCACGGAGGGGAUGUUGCUACAAAGAAAUGGAAAGUUUACAAUUGGAAACCUGAACUUAUCUCUUUUGUCGUAAAGUUUUGAGACUCAUUGUCAAUGAAACAGACUUAACUGUAUGUGUUGUAUUCUUUAUCUUAAGUUUUAUGGGAUUGAUGCUUUUUGUUUUGUAAUGUCUAGAGAAACAAUCCCCUAAAUCAAUACAUGACAUUAAUUUCCUCAAGUCAAAGGAACAAUGUUAUCAGAUAUGACAAGGAUCGGCUACCUUAGUUUGUGCAAUGAAAAACACUUUGUUUACGUCGUUAUAACUAACUGCGGUAAUUACCUUUCUUUGCAGAGUAUAUUAGGAAUUGUGUGGUGUUCCAAUUAUCAUUUAAGAUCAAGUAACAGUACUAUAUGUACCAAAUCACGUGACUGUACUUCAACUGCACCAUGUUGUAGGGAUGCUUAUUAUAAUACACUUACUGACCAGGAAAAUCACUUCGGU